UACGGAGGGUGCAAGCGUUAUCCGGAUUUACUGGGUUUAAAGGGUGCGUAGGCGGCUUUCUAAGUUGGAUGUGAAAACUCUGGGCUCAACCCAGAGACUGCAUCCAAAACUGGAGAGCUUGGGUUCUGGAGGGGAAAGCGGAAUUCCUGGUGUAGCGGUGAAAUGCGCAGAUAUCAGGAGGAACACCGAUGGCGAAGGCAGGUCUCUGGGCAUUAACUGACGCUGAGGAGCGAAAGCAUGGGGAGCGAACAGG
rnacentral:rRNA from 1 species